rnacentral:rRNA from 1 species
AGCGCAGACGGCACUGCAAGUCUGAAGUGAAAGCCCGGGGCUCAACCCCGGGACUGCUUUGGAAACUGUAGAGCUAGAGUGCUGGAGAGGCAAGCGGAAUUCCUAGUGUAGCGGUGAAAUGCGUAGAUAUUAGGAAGAACACCAGUGGCGAAGGCGGCUUGCUGGACAGUAACUGACGUUCAGGCUCGAAAGCGUGGGAGCAAACA